AUCGGAUCUCAUGCCAACAUAGCCCAGACUUUUGCGCGAGGUCAUCGGCUUGAUCUCAUACCACAGAUUGAUUCGACAAUGCAAUCUUCCGGGGAGGAGCUUUUGCGUGCGAUCCUGGUGAAGCUGCCGACCAGGGACCUCGCCCGGUCCGCCUGCGUCUCCCGGCAAUGGCGCACCGUCGUCGGCGAACCCUCCUUCCGCAGGCUCCACGCCAGCGCCACCCACGUCGUCUCCGGCCCACCGGAGACACUGGCCGUCACGGAGAUCCGUGGGAUGCGCAUACGCCUAGAGGCGGUGGUCCUCAACGUCGCGUCCGAAAAGACAAUGUGCCGCAUCACCGACCUGGCCGGUGGGUACGGCCCCACCAACGCCUGCAACGGUUUCCUGUGCUUCGCAGCCAACGCCGAGGACUGGCAUGUGUGCGUCUGCAACCCUGUCACCGGAGAUAAGAUCAAGAUCGCGCCGCCGCCAGAGAACAAGGGCGUCCGCUCGCGCAUGUAUGCCAUGGGGUUCAGCGCGUUAACCCAGCAGUACAAGCUGUUCCGACUCUCCUUCCACCAUCGUGACGGCUCCGGCCACUACCUGGACGCGUACACCUUAGGCGGCGACGACGGGUGGCGCCGGAACCCACAUCUACUCCCAUGUCGCGCGAGCUACAACUGUGCAUUCCCGCCACCGGUGCUCAUCGAUGGCAAGUUGUACGUCUUAGCUGAACCGGCAGAGUAUCGCCAGGCGUCAGAUAAGAUAAUAGUGAUCGAUGUGGACAGCGAGACGCACUGCAUACAUCACCUCCCGGAGGAGUUUACCGGGGCGGUCAUUGCAGCGAUGCACGCCUUGCUGGCCAGCAGCGACUACGCUUCUGGGUCAUGCCACCGCUGCUGGGAAUGA
rnacentral:rRNA from 1 species